rnacentral:rRNA from 1 species
UUUCUUUUAUGGAGAGUUUGAUCCUGGCUCAGGACGAACGCUGGCGGCGUGCCUAAUACAUGCAAGUCGAGC